ACGUUUUCUGUUUCUGCUAGUCGUACACGUAAAUAAUGGAACACGUAAUACAAGUACGAAGGCAGCAGAUCUUUGCCAGUCCAUCUGAGAGUCAAGAAAAGCUUCGUGUCGGUUUCAGAGUUACUGGUAGAGUUUACAGAUCAUCAUUUUUUCCUGGCAUCGUUCGUUCGAUCCUCUUCCACCCCCCUGAUCCAUCCAUUCCGGCCAUGGACUCCAACGCCAACGGCGGGCGCAGCACGAUGGUAGGGGAGAUGGAGAGCAGCUUGGAGCGGGUCAGGCGGCAGCUCUCCUCCAGCUCCACCCGCCAUAUCCUCCAGGGCCCUCUCUUAAAGCGAUCCGAUACACUCAGGAAAUGGAAUGAGCGGUGGGUUAUACUUGAUCCAGCUACUGGAAAGAUGGAAUACAAGGUUCGUAGAAGUGAUACAACUGUGAGGGGAAUAAUUGUGUUCGAUUCAACAAGCACCGUCACUUUGUCACCUACCAACUUUCAUGGACUGCCAAAAUAUGAAGGAUGUUGUGUAUAUAUUGGGACUCCACAAAAAAAGGAGUACUUUCUUUGUGCAGAAACUCCCAGCGCUGCAAGAGCAUGGGUAUCUACUUUACAUGCAACUCAGUUGGUCCUACAGGCUCAUAAACAGGCGGUGGAUUCAUUGGGUGGAAAUGGUUCUGCAAAAUUGGGAACAGUUGCUACUGUUGUGGCUGUGGCCAAUGCAACUGCGAUUGAAGCAUCCAAAGAGGUAGAAGCAGCGAUGAAGAUCUCCCUGCGGGCAGCUUUAGGCUCAACUACAAAUAAACUUAGUAAAGGUCAAUUAGAUGAUCUCACAAUCAUGAUGGAGACCCUUCGAGUUAAAGAUGAUGAACUGCACCAGCUAUUGCAGGAUAUCCGUGCACGAGAUUCCACCAUCAGGGAGAUUACAGAUAAAUUACAGGAGACUGCUGAGGCAGCUGAAACUGCUGCUUCUGCUGCUCAUGCAAUUGAUGAAGCAAGAAGAUUUUUAUCUUCAGAACUUGAACGCCUGAAACAAGAUCAGGAAAAUCAAGUUGAAUUGUCCUUGCUUAGGCUAAGGGAAUCAGAAGAAAAGUCAAAGCUUCUUGCUGAAGAAAGAGAGCAUUUACUCAAGGAAAGAGAUUCUGCUCUUCAAGAAGCUCAGAUGUGGCGCUCUGAGCUUGGAAAAGCUAGAGGAAAUGCUGUCAUUUUAGAAGCAGCUGUUGUGAGAGCUGAAGAGAAAGCUAGGGUUUCAGCAGCCGAUGCUGACAUGCGAAUAAAGGAAGCUGUGAGUAAGCUCGAGUCUGCUGCGAAAGAAAAGGAAGAACUCUUAGCUCUCGUGGAUGCUCUAAAAUCACAAAUACAAAGGCAAGAGACUAGCACAAAACAAAUCUGUGAGGAAAGGUCAGAGCUGUGCUCUACUUCAAAGCAUAUGGACAUGGACGACGAUAACGUGGAUAAGGCUUGUUUAAGCGAUACAGACCUGAUACCCAUUGCGGAGAACAUAGUCGAGUUGGAUGACGAGGGAGUCGAUAUACGUACGAUCGGGGACACAGAGUGGGAAAAUCCUCAUUCCUCUGAAGUAUCUGAUGUAAGGGAGGUGACCACAGAAGCUGAAGAAAACAGCUUGGAUAUUCCUGUUGAUAGCCAGCCAGUUGCUGACGAUACUUUCCAAGGCUAGACUGGACUUUUGCCAUUCUUGUACACCAUGACUUUUUGUACUAAAGUUUUUCAUCUCGGUUCACAGCGAACAUUCUUAUAAUCUUAUUCAGUUUUCGCAUUGACCCAGAGUUCCGUCACAGCUUUUGUUGCUCAUCUGUAAACCUGAGUGAAACAAAAAGAAGAAUUGGAUCAUCAAGUGUACCAUUGGCGAUCAUGUUGAACAGUUUACACCUACUGUUGUAAGG
rnacentral:rRNA from 1 species